AGUGAACGCUGGCGGUAGGCCUAACACAUGCAAGUCGAACGGCAGCACAGUAAGAGCUUGCUCUUACGGGUGUCGAGUGGCGGACGGGUGAGGAAUACAUCGGAAUCUACUUUUUCGUGGGGGAUAACGUAGGGAAACUUACGCUAAUACCGCAUACGACCUACGGGUGAAAGCAGGGGAUCUUCGGACCUUGCGCGAUUGAAUGAGCCGAUGUCGGAUUAGCUAGUUGGCGGGGUAAAGGCCCACCAAGGCGACGAUCCGUAGCUGGUCUGAGAGGAUGAUCAGCCACACUGGAACUGAGACACGGUCCAGACUCCUACGGGAGGCAGAAGUGGGGAAUAUUGGACAAUGGGCGCAAGCCUGAUCCAGCCAUACCGCGUGGGUGAAGAAGGCCUUCGGGUUGUAAAGCCCUUUUGUUGGGAAAGAAAAGCAGCAGGUUAAUACCCCGCUGUUCUGACGGUACCAAAAGAAUAAGCACCGGCUAACUUCGUG
rnacentral:rRNA from 1 species